AUUCCGAGAACUCUCCUGACUGGUCCUUGAGAGCAGAGUUAGGAGCAGUAAGCUGAAGAAACCCCAGGAAAAGCAGGACACAUUUCCACUAGCCAUGUAGCGGUUUGGGAACAAUCUGUGACAACUCCCAGAUGAGUGACUUGUUUUCCUCUUUUUAUUCAUAGUUUUAUAACACUGGCAUACACAUUAAGGCAGGUCUGGCAGGUGUAGUUCUGGAUUUGGUUUCCUUAAAGAGCUUAAUCAAUGACAGUGAAUCUCAACUGUCAUUCACUCACUUAGAAACUCAACAUCAGCAUUGAAUUAAGACAAAAUUGAGAGAAUCUUCCGUUCAAACCAAGAAGGUACAGAACAAUACCUAGAAAUGCAAAGCCUGUAAUGAUAGGGGGAAAAGCAGGUUCACUAAAACACUUCACUAACUGUAACCCCUAAACUUCUUAUGGUUCUACUUCUAAUCUAAUGCCUAUAAAUCCAGCUCAAUGUAUAAUCAAGUUGUAUUUCUUCCUCCAUAGCCUCCUGCAGCUUAUGUUCAGAUAAGUGCAAUUACAUACUCUCAACUGACCAAAGCUUUGAAUAAUUGUUUAGUCCCAAGCAAAGUGACAAUGAUAAGAUCUCUAGGGACAACGCAUGAUAGAGUCCAGUUCAUCCUCAUCAGAGCACCAGAGGACACAGCCAUCAGUAGAGAAACUAAGCGAGUGCUGCGGAAGUGGACUGACCAGCUGAGGGCUGGGCCUCCUGAUCCUCAUGCUCCAUAAGGGCCCUGGGUGCCAGGUGACAUCUACACUGCCAAGAGCUGGGAAGGAAUGAAACCCCUUUUGAAGGAGGUGUCUUCAUAAGAAAGGAAGAUGGUGGAAAUCCAUCCUCCAUUACUUCCCUGGAUAUUCAGAGUAACUCUGGGAGACAGGUGUGGUCACCAGUCCCACACCUCGCAUCGGGGACCCCAGGCACAGGAUCGGGUGCCACCAAGGCUCAUCAGCUAGUACCUGGGAUUUGAACCCAAGGCUAUGUCUGGAGCCUGUGCUCUUUCAACUGUCCCAGAAAGAGAUGGUCCAGAGAGGUAAGCAAGAAUGUUAUAUCCCUCUGUAUUCAUUUGCUUGUCAAAUACUUAUUGAGCACCUACCAUGUGCCAGGUCAGGAGCCAGGAUCCAAGGAGGAAAAGCAAACAGAUGGGAUUCCUACUUCACCAGAGCCAACCAGCAGGCCUCCCUGUGGAGCAGGGAGAUGGGCAUGAAGUGAAGCUCCUCACAAGUGACUAAUUACAGGUUGUGACUUUGUGGAACUCGGUGGAAGCAGAGUGAUAAGGUUCUCUCAAAUAGAAAAGGACAACGACCUCACUUUCCUCCCAGCACGCCUCAUAAUGACGAUGAGGACACUGCCAGGAAUAUCAAGAACUCUAUGCAGGGUGUGCCGCUGUAUGCCAGCCCAUGUGCCAAGCACCUUCGCAGACUGUUCACUCCUACCAGUAAUCCCACAGUUGAGUCUCUCUUGUUAUCCCCAUUUUUUGGAUGAGGAAACCAAGAUCUCAAGAAAUUAAGGGCAUUCCCCAGGUUUCAUAGGGACAGGGCAGAGUCAUGUCAGAUCUUAUACUUUCUUAAAGCUUGCUUCCUUUUCUUUGUGUCCCAGGAGCAUGUCUAUGUAACAUAAAAAAGGAUGCCACUCAUGCUUUCAUUGCAAUAUUGGGAAAGUGGUGCCACAUAUAAACACAGGGCAUAUUGCAGGGCACCCAGCACAGAGUGACCAGACUUGGGGCUAGGGGAGCAGGCCACCUACUCUACAGUGAAUCUGCACCUUUCUAAGCAUAGACAGAGCCUUUAACUUCUGUAGGCUAAUGAUGAUAAUACCAAUAACAAUGAUCACAGCACCCUGCCCUCCACAUGGUCACCUCACAAAAUCUUUGGAACAACUUGGGUAUAAGUACUAUUAUUCCCUUUCCAGAAAGGAAGAAACUCAGAUAGCAAAAGUUUGUGUACCUCACAUAGUUUAGACCUGAGAAUCAGAACGCAGGUCCUCAGGCCUCCAAAGCCUAUGCUCUGGCCACAGUGGUACACAGCAACUCUGCAAAAUGAAACAAGGUACAGAAGUUUCUCUUCCAGAUCUCUUGUGCAAUAAUUAUAGGGUGAAAAAAGCUACAAAUUCAGUUCCUUGUUUUAAAAAAAAAAAAUUUAACUAGGCCAGGUAAACAGAAUGAUAUUUGUACUAGCUUGGUCCAACUCUAAAGACUCAUAAUGGAACAUCUGAAUUAGGUCAGAAAGGACCAGGUUACCCAUUAAUUGUGUCCCAGCUUAUGGUGCCGGUUGGCUCUGGGCACAAAGGCAGCCUACACAGCCCCUCCUUAGCUGCCCAGAACAUACCAGGAGCAGCAGAAAUGGGCCACAUUCCCAGGCAAUCUCCAUUGUGCCCACUCCACAUGGUACCCAGAGCAGAGGAAAAGGGGUCAUGUUAUAGCAUAUGAUUGUCAGCCCACUCUGCAGGAAAGGUGAGCCUGUCCCACCCAGGCUUCUUUCCCUUUGUGGCUAGUUCUCCUUAUGGGUGACAAGGAGGAUCCCACUGAAGUCAUCCAAAAUAUUUACAACCUGAGGCCUGGAUCACAAGGAAAGAAAUCAGGCAACCCUCCCUCAUUGCUGCUAUCACAUUGACAACCAAAGUUCCAGCAAAUUUGGAUGGUCAAUCCAAGAAGCAGUUCGAGCAUGUCCCAAACAGAAAACAUGUGAUUGGGUAAAAUGGCUCUCAGCUCCCAAGGCCUCUCCUCUUCAUGGCUUCUGCAGCUCUGUCCCCCUCACCUGCCCAGUGAGAGCUCGGCAGCACCCACCCUGACAGCCCCCCAGUAACAGCCAGCUCUGAUAAGAGCCUCUUAGAUUCUCUAUGUACACAACUGAUAAGACUUGCUGGAGUUUUCUCUUUUUACCACUACUCCUAGGAGGAAGAAAUCCCUAGAAAUGGAAUUUUAGAGGCCAGAAAUUUACAGAGGCCUAUAAAGCAGUUGAUCAUUCUGCAUAAUCACAAGACUGUCCCUGUCUAAAAGAGUAAAUUUCCAAUAAACCAGACUGAUGUGGCACUUUGAACUGAGGGUCCCAAGACCUGGGUUGCACACCUGUCAGCUGUAUGCACCUAGGCAGACCCCUAGGUCAAGACUGAGACUGCCCCAGUGCCUAUGGGGCUUGUGCCUGACACACUACAGGACUUUAUGUGGGACUUUCUCAGUUGCUAUGCAGAUGUAGUGACAUGUGCUGAAGGAGGCAGAAAGAUUCUUCAAAAAUAAGAACAAAAAAUAUUUUCCCCUCUGAGUGCAGAGGGCAUGCUGUUAGACCUUCGCAGAUUCCAAGGACAGUUCUCCUAGAAUCUCAGAGUAUCUCCAAGUAAAUGGCCCUUACCACCACUGGAUUCAUUUAGACUGACUCGCACAGCAUGUGUGUUGGAGAGUCACAGCCACCCUUGAGACUGGAUUUGGUGAAGAACAAACCAACUGGGACAGCUACAGAGGCAGCUCUGGCCAAGGGAGGAACACCGACCCCAGGCUUCACCUGCUCUCCCACAAAACCCUCAGAUGGAUGGCACCUCCACCCUCCGCCCUCUAUGGCCUUCCUAUACAUCUGGGCAUCCUGUGUCAUCUCCUGCAAUGAACUUUCCCAGACUAACCAUAUCUCUUCUCCAGAGUCGUACCGACUACACUCCCAUAGUAGCACUUGGUAUGAGCUUCUAAUAUGGAACUUGUCACAUGAUAGAUAUUUGCUGCCUUGUCUCCACACUGCCGAAAUUUCCUGUGGCAGGAAUGGUUUUCUAUGCUCACGUGCAGUCUCACACAUACAACUGCACAGAUCCUGAGGAAAAACAAGCAUGCCUUUUAUGCCUGCGGUAUCACCAAGAAGUGCGAGGUCCUGUACUAGAAAUAGCAAAAGGUCUUUCUGAACAAAAUCUAAAGGCCAGUAAGAGUUCUAUGAGCAAAAUCAUCUAUAGCAAAAGGCCCUCAAAACCAACUUAUGUUUGCCAUAAAAUACGAAUGUGUUUUUGUAGAAGGCACCUGAAGGCACGAUAUUUAAAUAACAUCUCAUCAUUCCAUUGGAUUUAAAAAGCCAGAGACAUAAUAUUUCAGUUUUAAGAUCACAAAAUUGAGACUGAAUUCCUUGAAGACUCCAUUGUCAGCCAUGAAGUUACCUUUACCAGGAAACAGAUCUGAACAUUAUAACAAAAUCUCCCAGAUAUUUCAGGCCAGAGCUGUUUAAAAAAAGAUGUCUAAAAAUUCCGUUGUCGUUGAGAGUUCUCCAAUCAUAGCCAUGGUUUGUAUGUUUUUUGUCUUUGUUGGUGUUGGAGAGCAUCAGAAUUCCACUACUAAAAUCACCCAAGCCUCCAGAGAGCUCAGAAAACUAAUUCACUUGAAAUCAGUGUAAUUUAUUUCCAGUUUGCUCUACACAAUUGACAAGAAUCAAAUGCAUCAAACUUCAGACUUAAAUUCCACCUCUGCCACCACUGGUUCCAGGACAACAAACCUACUUCUCUCUACUUGUUGUCUAACUUAAAGGAAAACACAGGGUUUUUUCUGAAGACUGUAUAUCUUCCAAGAGAUUUCAACAAGAGUUGUCAUUUGUUUUUGUUUUUUUUAAGUUUUGCACUUUUGUAGAUUUGGCAACCACAAACAACCUAAUGAACAAAAUAUAAUAUUCAAAACCAAUGACUUUUUCUCUGACAAAUUAUUUCUCUCCCUCAAAAAAAUCAUUAUGCAAACUUAGACUUACUGUAUCUACAAAUAAAAUAAGCAUACAUUCCAUUUUGGUGAUGGUCUCCUUAACAGGUUGUGUAGGUGUCUCUGGGUUCCACUGUUACAGAUUUCACUAGGACUGUUCUGCACACCAUCACAGCCAAAUAGGA